rnacentral:rRNA from 1 species
GUAGGGAAUAUUGGGCAAUGGAUGCAAGUCUGACCCAGCCAUCCCGCGUGCCGGAAGAAGGCCCUCAGGGUUGUAAACGGCUUUUGACGGUGAAGAACCGACAGGAUGCGUCCUGUUUUGACGGUAGCCGUUGAAUAAGCACCGGCUAACUCCGUGCCAGCAGCCGCGGUAAUACGGAGGGUGCGAGCGUUGUCCGGAUUUAUUGGGUUUAAAGGGUGCGUAGGCUGGAAGGUCAGUCAGCGGUGAAAAGCUAUCGCUUAACGAUAGUCUUGCCGCAGAUACUUCCUUUCGUGGAUGAGGAGGAGGCCACUGGAACGGAUGGUGUAGCGGUGAAAUGCAUAGAUAUCAUCCAGAACACCGAUUGCGAAGGCAGGUGGCUGUACCUUAAUCGACGCUGAUGCACGAAAGCAUGGGGAGCAAACAGGAUUAGAAACCCGGGUAGUCC